AUGUACAUGCCUACAACGUUAAUGCAACGGAUCCUAUCAAAACUCUGUAGUUAAGCAUGCUUGGCUAGAGUAGUAUUGGAAUGGAUGACCUCUAGGGAAAUAUGUGUGUUUUACAUG
rnacentral:rRNA from 1 species